rnacentral:rRNA from 1 species
CGGAGGGUGCAAGCGUUAUCCGGAUUCACUGGGUUUAAAGGGUGCGUAGGCGGGCAGGUAAGUCCGUGGUGAAAUCUCUGAGCUUAACUCAGAAACUGCCAUGGAUACUAUUUGUCUUGAAUAUUGUGGAGGUAAGCGGAAUAUGUCAUGUAGCGGUGAAAUGCUUAGAUAUGACAUAGAACACCAAUUGCGAAGGCAGCUUGCUACACAGUUAUUGACGCUGAGGCACGAAAGCGUGGGGAUCAAACAGGAUUAGAUACCCUGGUAGUCCACGCCCUAAACGAUGAUUACUCGACAUCAGCGAUACACUGUUGGUGUCUGAGCGAAAGCAUUAAGUAAUCCACCUGGGAAGUACGACCGCAAGGUUG